GGAAAAAAGCAGCCGUGACCCUCUGCUAAAUGGCACCCGUAUGAGAGUACUGCAUCGACAGGUGAUACCAUUGGCAGCAUCGCACCUUGCUCAGUGAACAGCCAAGGCUAAGCCCAUAAAGCCUUUGCUCUGGCGUUAUCUUUGAAGCUUGCAUGAAAACUACCGUUUCGCUGCCAUGGAAAUGAGAAAUAGUGAGAGUUAAUGGAAUGAUGAAUCCCCAUUGCUUGAAGACUUUCAAUCAGAGCUGGCUGCCUCAGAGAGUUACUGUUUUCUGUGCAGGAGGAACCAGAGGAGGUAGUGACCUCUGUCUUUCUCUAAAGACCUAUGUCUUUGUUUAAAGCCCUUUUCUGACCUUGAAAUGAUGUCUGUGAUGCAAACGGCUUUGGCUGUUGUUUUUUUACAGUCAGCUUUCCAGAUCUCCUGAAGGUCUCAUGGAGGGGCGGGAUGUCUUUGGGAUUGCUGUUGGACAGGCACUGGUUUCUUUAGAGUUCAUUUGGCAUUGAGAUCACAGAUGCCUAAUUAACAGGAAUCUUAGCAGAGGUCUUAUGUGCCUGUUACCACUGCCUGUUACUUGCCUACCGAAAACUCUCAGGUCUCUUUUGUUAUUACAAAAGGAAACGUUCAGCCCUGCUCCUGUUCAGACGAUCUAUCGGCUCUGUGUUAGAAAAUACAACAACACAGAUCUGAGAGCAUUAGUUAGAGAUGUGAAGAAUCACAC
ensembl:lncRNA